UACGUAGGGUGCAAGCGUUGUCCGGAAUUAUUGGGCGUAAAGAGCUCGUAGGCGGUUUGUCGCGUCUGCUGUGAAAACCCGAGGCUCAACCUCGGGCCUGCAGUGGGUACGGGCAGACUAGAGUGCGGUAGGGGAGAUUGGAAUUCCUGGUGUAGCGGUGGAAUGCGCAGAUAUCGGGAGGAACACCCGUAGCGAAGGCGGCUGACUGGACCAUACCUGACGCUGAGGCGCGAAGGCCAGGGGAGCGAACGGG
rnacentral:rRNA from 1 species